rnacentral:rRNA from 2 species
UGGGGAAUAUUGCACAAUGGGCGAAAGCCUGAUGCAGCAACGCCGCGUGAGCGAUGAAGGCCUUCGGGUCGUAAAGCUCUGUCCUCAAGGAAGAUAAUGACGGUACUUGAGGAGGAAGCCCCGGCUAACUACGUGCCAGCAGCCGCGGUAAUACGUAGGGGGCAAGCGUUGUCCGGAAUGAUUGGGCGUAAAGGGCGCGUAGGCGGCCUGUUAAGUCUGGAGUGAAAUUCCCGCUUUUAAGGUGGGAACUGCUUUGGAUACUGAUGGGCUUGAGUGCAGGAGAGGUAAGCGGAAUUCCCGGUGUAGCGGUGAAAUGCGUAGAGAUCGGGAGGAACACCAGUGGCGAAGGCGGCUUACUGGACUGUAACUGACGCUGAGGCGCGAAAGUGUGGGGAGCAAACAGG